GGCCAGUUAGCUCAGUCACUUGAGCGUAGCGCUAACAACGCUAAGGUCAUGGGUUUGAUUCCCGUUCGGUCA
rnacentral:tRNA from 1 species